rnacentral:rRNA from 1 species
GGGCCCGCACAAGCGGUGGAGCAUGUGGUUUAAUUCGAUGCAACGCGAAGAACCUUACCAGGUCUUGACAUCUGGCGAAUCCUGAUGAAAAUCGGGAGUGCCUUUUGGAGCGCCAAGACAGGUGGUGCAUGGUUGUCGUCAGCUCGUGUCGUGAGAUGUUGGGUUAAGUCCCGCAACGAGCGCAACCCUUGCUAUUAGUUGCUAACAGGUAGAGCUGAGCACUCUAAUGGAACUGCCUGUGACAAGCAGGAGGAAGGUGGGGAUGACGUCAAAUCAUCAUGCCCUUUAUGAUCUGGGCUACACACGUGCUACAAUGGAUGGUACAGAGAGCAGCGAGGCCGCGAGGUGGAGCGAAUCUCAAAAAGCCAUUCUCAGUUCGGAUUGCAGUCUGCAACUCGACUGCAUGAAGUCGGAAUCGCUAGUAAUCGCGAAUCAGCAUGUCG